CGUCAUACACCUGCACCCGGGAGGAAAGGCGAGGCUCUGCAUCUAGAUUUACCUCGUUCUCUUUUGUCUCCGCUUUUUUUUCACAUUUCCUUGCGACCCUGGCCCUUGAGCGACAAAAAGGGGAAGCCAAGGCUGGCCCGAGGAACGGAGAGGGCACAUGGCCUAGCCACAAGUGGAGCUUCUGCUCCGCCCGAAGGGAUGCGCUGGAGCGGCCUCUUCCUUCUGCCACGGUCUUUCUUUGCCAACUAGUAGAUUUGGACAUUUACAGUGUUCAGCCGUUGUUGUGGCAUUCCAAUUCAAUUGGGAAACAGCUUGAUGUAGCGUCCCCAUAAGGUCCACAGUAAUUAAAUUUUUUUUUUUUUUUUUUGGUGCGGUAGUGCAAUUUCAUGGCUCACUGCAACCUCCACCUCCCAGGUUCAAGCGAUCCUCCCAUCUCAGCCUCCCUAGUAGCUGGGAUUACAGGUGCACGCCACCACACCAGGCUAAUUUUUGUAUUUUUAGUAGAGAUGGGGUUUCACCAGGUUAGCCAGGCUGGUCUUGAACUCCAGACCUCAAGGGAUCCGCCUGCCUCAGCUUUCCAAAGUGCUGGGAUUACAGGUGGAGACUGGACCUCAGAAGAGGGAGUGGGUGCCCCGAGAACUCACAGCUAGCGGACAGUGGAAAGGGCAGGAGCCGGACCAAGUGUUCAUCCAUCGCCCUGUAUUAGCGAAGAACAACAUCAAGCUGGCUAGCAAGGAACUGUAUACAGGGUCCAGCUGGGUAUCACACUGGAUCUCACCCAAAGCUUAGAUGUGAUCCAGCUCAGUAUCACAAAGCAGAACGAAAAGGAUGUGUUUGGGCUGAGAGGCCAUACAUUGGCUCCGGCAUGACGGGUGACUUCUUCCGAGUCUGGCUUCUGCAGCACACAGGGCUUCGCCAGCACCCAGCUCCUGCAGCAUGGGCAGCUCCUGUGACAGCAGGCGCCCGCAGCCUGCAAAGCGUCUCCAGUGCCGCCGCCUCAGUGAACCUCAACCAGCGGCACCUAGCAGCUUUCUCUGCCACCCUCUUCAGGUAGUUCUGUAGCAGCGCGUUUCUCAUGAGACACUUCCCUGUGAGCAGCUUUUUCUACCCUUGAGGAUGGAUUUCCAGCAAAUUCUGCCCAUGUGGUACCACAGCCACUUCUCUGCCAUUCAGUGAAACUGCCGUUGUGCCCUCUUCAAGGUCUGGAUCUAAGCCCAGGGACCAGGAAACCUCUUGCUUGAGUGCUGGAACUCAGGCCAGAAGGCAGGAAGCCCGCCUGACCCCAUGUCUCAGGCUGCCAGAGGAGCGUGCGAUGAGGAAGGCUGGACUGUCUUCACAGGACACCAGGGAGAAGCCUCAAGCCACUGCCCCCUGACAAGUCGCAGCUCUCCAGCCUGUCUCCUCACUCCCCUCCCCUCCACAUGGGGGGGUUGGGGUGGGGGCGGGGAAGGUUCGGGGCAGGGGUCAUUUCAGCUACUGGGCACCAGUCUCCUCCUCAUGUUUAUCCUGUUCCCUUUGCUUGAAAGGUUCGUACUCCAGAUCCUUGUAAAACCGCUUCUCACCCUUUGAGUCUCAGCUUAAAUGUCCCCUCCUUGGAGGGGUCUUCCCUGACAAUGAAGCUCCGACCGUCCUCUCCUGUUUUACCCAGUUCAUUUCUUUCUGGCAUUUGUAACUACUUGAAGUUAAAGUGUGUGCCAUGUAUGUGUCUGUCAGUUUCCCCCACCACACUGGAACCCCAUGAGGGCAAGGGUCUUGUCUGGAAUCUUCCUCACUUACAACUCAACAUUUAGCAAAGGACCUUUGCUAAAUUAACAGGCAUUCAUUUUGUAUUUGAAAAAUGAACUAGUGAGGCCGGGCGUGGUGGCUCACACCUGCAAUCCCGGCACUUUGGGAGACCGAGGCGGGCUUGAGGUCAGGAGUUCGAGACCGGCCUGGCCAACAUGGUGAAACCCCAUUAAAAAUACAAAAAUUGGCUGGGCGCGGUGGCUCACGCCUGUAAUCCCAACACUUCGGGAGGCUGAAGCGGGCGGAUCACGAGGUUAGGAGUUCAAGACCAGCCUGACCAACAUAGUGAAACCCCAUCUCUACUAAAAAUACAAAAAUUAGCCGGGCAUGAUGGCAGGCGCCUGUAAUCCCAGCUACUCGGGAGGCUGAGGCGGAAGAAUCGCUUGAACCAGGAGGUGGAGAUUGCCGUGAGCUGAGAUCACGCCACUACACUCCAGCCUGGGCAACAGAGCACGAAUCCAUCUCCGAAAAACAAACAAAAAAACGAAUGUGUGAGGAACGCAGCAAAGCCCCUACAGUUAACGUUUGCCGCCCUCUGCCCCUCAG
rnacentral:lncRNA from 1 species